rnacentral:rRNA from 1 species
CCUACGGGUGGCAGCAGUAGGGAAUCUUUCACAAUGGGCGAAACCCUGAAGCAGCAACGCCGCGUGCAGGAUGAAGGCCUUCGGGUUGUAAACUGCUUUUAUAAGCGAGAAAUAUGAUGGUAACUUAUGAAUAAGGACCGGCUAACUACGUGCCAGCAGCGGCGGUAAUACGUAGGAUCCGAGCAUUAUCCGGAGUGACUGGGUGUAAAGAGUUGCUUGGGUGGGAUAAUAAGUAGCUAGUGGAAACUGGUGGCUCAAACCAUCAGACUAUUAUCUAAACUGUUAAGCUCGAGACCGGUAGGGGUAACUGGAAUUUCUAGUGUAGGAGUGAAAUCCGUAGAGAUUAAAAGGAACACCAAUAGCGUAGGCAAGUUACUGGGACAUUUCUGACACUGAGGCACGAAAGCGUAGGGAGCAAACGGGAUUAGAUACCCCAGUAGUC